AGCUUGCUGAAUAAUGCAGCAAAUACUGUAUUGACAGUACCCAGAUUAGAUAAAUCAAUUUCCAUAUCCAUGCUUUCAGCAUCAAGGGCCUCAAACCCCACACUAUCAUACUGCCUUCUCUUUUCUGGGUCAGAUAAGAUGCUGUAGGAAUAUGCAACCUCCUUAAAAAGUUCAGAAGCUUCAGGGUUGCUUGCAUUUUUGUCCGGAUGAUACUUGAGAGCUAGUUUCCGAUAAGCAGUUUUAAUCUCCUGAUCAGAAGAAUCUCUCGAUACGGACAAUACCUCAUAUGGGUCUCGUCGAAUUACUGGAGCUGAUGUACUUUCAGCCUUCUUCGAACCCAUCCCACCUCGUUCCAAAACCCUGCUCUCUGUAUCACUCGAGAGAUAUUGCUCCACUUCGAAUCAGCAAUACUAUAAUUUCCCUUCAAUGGACCCAAUUUGAAGCAAUCGGUUAACCAUGUCCUAAGGAAGUUUUGGUUGUUUUCCUGCUCUUCGUUCUUCGUUUCUUCUUCUUCUUCACCUCUUUUGGGACAUCACAUAAUGUCAGCAAAUUUUC
rnacentral:misc_RNA from 1 species